rnacentral:misc_RNA from 1 species
GGAGGUAAAAGUCGUAACAAGGUCUCCGUAGGUGAACCUGCGGAGGGAUCAUUACAGAGUUCAUGCCCUACCGGGUAGAUCUCCCACCCUAUGUUAUUAUUACUUUGUUGCUUUGGCGGGCCGUUAGGCUCCGGCCCGACUACCGGCCCCGGCUGGUAAGCGCCCGCCAGAGGACCCAAAACCCUGAAUAUUAGUGUCGUCUGAGUACUAUAUAAUAGUUAAAACUUUCAACAACGGAUCUCUUGGUUCUG